GACGAACGCUGGCGGCGUGCCUAAUACAUGCGAGUAGAACGCUGAAGGAGGAGCUUGCUUCUCUGGAUGAGUUGCGAACGGGUGAGUAACGCGUAGGUAACCUGCCUGGUAGCGGGGGAUAACUAUUGGAAACGAUAGCUAAUACCGCAUAAGAGUAGAUGUUGCAUGACAUUUGCUUAAAAGGUGCAAUUGCAUCACUACCAGAUGGACCUGCGUUGUAUUAGCUAGUUGGUGGGGUAACGGCUCACCAAGGCGACGAUACAUAGCCGACCUGAGAGGGUGAUCGGCCACACUGGGACUGAGACACGGCCCAGACUCCUACGGGAGGCAGCAGUAGGGAAUCUUCGGCAAUGGACGGAAGUCUGACCGAGCAACGCCGCGUGAGUGAAGAAGGUUUCGGAUCGUAAAGCUCUGUUGUAAGAGAAGAACGAGUGUGAGAGUGGAAAGUUCACACUGUGACGGUAUCUUACCAGAAAGGGACGGCUAACUACGUG
rnacentral:rRNA from 1 species